rnacentral:tRNA from 1 species
GGAGCUGUGGCCUAGCGGUAGAGCUGCCGCCUGCAGUGCGGCAUCCCAUGUGGGUGCUGGUUCGAGUCCCAGCCGCUCUG